CAGUAGCCACGGUAAUACAGAGGGUGCGAGCGUUAAUCGGAUUUACUGGGCGUAAAGCGUGCGUAGGCGGCUUUUUAAGUCGGAUGUGAAAUCCCUGAGCUUAACUUAGGAAUUGCAUUCGAUACUGGGAAGCUAGAGUAUGGGAGAGGAUGGUAAAAUUCCAGGUGUAGCGGUGAAAUGCGUAGAGAUCUGGAGGAAUACCGAUGGCGAAGGCAGCCAUCUGGCCUAAUACUGACGCUGAGGUACGAAAGCAUGGGGAGCAAACAGGAUUAGAUACCCGAGUAGUCCCUGUCUCUUAUAC
rnacentral:rRNA from 1 species